UAGGAGACAGACAAACAAAUGUAUGUAAACGUUUUAUCCAUGUACCUUUUGAAGAUUGAAAAAUGGCGUAUUCCCGAAGACGCCUUUAAGAUGGCAUUUGAUUAUCGAUCUAUUGAAUACAUUUAUGAGCAGGUAAUCAAAGUAAAUAAAUAUAUUAACAUACAUGACUUCCAUCCAUUAAACUAUCGACUUCUGAAAACCACACACAAUCUGCUCACACAUUUCAUUCAUCUAUGUUUUAAUUGUUUACAAACGUCGAGUAGCGACCACAUGUACUUUACAACAUUUCCAUGUGCCAUUGAAUUAUAAUGUGAUUCGUAUUAAAGCACGUUCAACAUUUAGUAUGAUGAAGCAAGGUUACUAUAAGUAGGGGAUAUUACACACACAUAUAUAUAUAUAUAUAUAUUUAAUAUAAAAUAUUAUUCUCAAAACUAUUUCCGAAAAACUAAUAUGACAGACACAAACCAAAGUCAACUCCUAUCCACUUCUUAAAGUAACUUGCGGGAUUGUUAGACUGUGUUGGAGACCAAUAGGUUGCCUUUGGCUAUUUGCUGCUCAUCGGUCGGGUUGAUAUCUCUUAGAUAUUGCUUUCCUUUCUCUAUUUUAUAACACAUAGGUAAGAUGAUUAUAGAGCAUAUUAUUACCCCGAUAAUUGUUAACAAUUUAAGGAAGAUUAUCUUGUUUGAAUUGUUUUACAUUGUCAUAUCGCGGCCUUUUAUAGCUGACUAUGCGUUAUGGUCUUUGCUCAUUGUUGAAGGCCGUACGGUGACCUAUAGUUGUUAAUUUGUGUGUCAUUUUGGUCUCUUGUGGAUAGUUAUUUUAUUGGCAAUCAUACCACAUCUUCUUUUUUUUUAAAUUAUCGACCUCUCAGCUAUGUAUUAUUUUAUGUUCUGAAUAUUCUGUCUAUAUAAUUUCAAAUUUAAAGUUAUAAACUUUGACCGUUGUACAUUUCAACUAUCCGUAUGUAAUAAAGUGUGCAAUUGAUCAAGCGUCUACACGAAGGAUCAUAUAGUAUAAGUCAAGGGAAAGAGUAAAUUAUAUCCACAGUAUUAACCGAUUAAAGUGUGGCAUUCUAAUUUAAAGGUUAAUUGAUUUAUUUUGAUGCAUAUUAUUAACUGUCAUAUGAUUUCAGUACUUUUUGUACAUAAUGAUUGGCUGUUCUUCAUAAAAUAAUCUUACUUUAAGGAAAAAGAUAUUAAAUUUUUGUACGCUUUCCUAAAAUGCAAAUAUUUUUCAUUUUACUGAAAAUUAUUGACCGCCAUUGGAUUUUUAUACUUUUUAUAGUUAGAAUAGUUUUUUUCAUAAAAUUAAAAGAUCAGCAAAAAUCAUACUAAAAUUUUGUUUCGCAUUGUUUAAAAUAAUCCAAAAUUAUUCUUCUUUUUAUCAAAAAUGAUACUAUUUUAUUUGAAAUCAGUUAUUUUUACCAUCUUGAGACAAGUCUCUAAUCAGAAUUCAGAUAUAAUGAGAAUUAAAAUACUUAAACUUUUAUUUUUGUGGAAAAAGAAUGUAGUUAUUGAUUUAUUUUGAUACAAAUUAUUAACCGUCAUAUGAUUUCAGUACUUUUUGUACAUCAAGAUUGGCUGCUCUUCAUAAAAUAUGCUUACUUUAGGAAAAAGAUAUAAAUUUUUGUACGCGUUUCCUAAAAUGCAAAUAUUGUUUCAUUUUACUGAAAAUUAUUGACCGCCAUUGAUUUUUGUACUUUUUAUAGUUGAGAAUAGUUUUUUUUCAUAAAAUUAAAAUAAUAUCAGAAAAAUCAUACUAAAUUUUGUCGCAUUGUUUAAAAUAAUCAAAAUUAUUCUUCUUUUUAUCAAAAAUGAUACUAUUUUAUUUGAAAUCAGUUAUUUUUACCAUCUUGAGACAAGUCUUCUAAUUAGAAUUGAGAUAUAAUGAAAUUAAAAUACUUAAACUUUUAUUUUUGUGGGAUAAGAAUGCAGUUAUUGAUUUAUUUUGAUACAAAUUAUUAAAUGUCAUAUGAUUUUAGUACUUUUUGUACAUCAGGAUUGGCUGUUCUUCAUAAAACAUGCUUACUUUAAGGAAAAAGAUAUUAAAUUUUUGUAUGUGUUACCUAAAAUGCAAAUAUUUCUUCAUUUUAGUGAAAAUUAUUGACCGCCAUUGGAUUUUGUACUUUUUAUAGUUUAAAAUAGUUUUUUUGUUCAUAAAUUAAAGGAAUGUCAGAGAAAUUAUACUAAAAUUUUAUUCGCAUUGUAUAAAAUAACCAAAAUUAUUCUUCUUUUUAUUAAAGAUGAUACUAUUUUAUUUGAAAUCAGUUAUUUUACCAUCUUGAGACAAGUCUGCUAAUUAGAAUUGAGAUGUAAUGAGACUUAAAAUACUUAAACUUUUAUUUUUGGGGAAAAGAAUGCAGCUUGUAUUUAUUUUGAUAGCAAAUUAUAACCGUCAUAUGAUUUUAGUACUUGUACAUCGAUGAUGGCUGCCUUCAUAAAAUAUGCUUACUUUUUAGAAAAAAGAUUAUUAAAUUUUGUACGCGCUUCCGAAAAUGCAAAUAUUGUUUCAUUUUACUGAAAAUUUGACCGCCUUUGACUUUUACUUUUUAUAGUUGAGAAAGUUUUUUCAUAAAAUGAAAAUUAGAUCAGAAGAAAGCAUACCAAAAUUUGUUGCAUGUUAAAUAAUCAAAAAUUAUUCUUCUUUUUGUCUCAAAAAUGAUACUAUUUUAUAAAAAUCAGUUAUUUUUACCCAUCUGAGACAAAUAUCAUAUGAAUUAAUACUUAUAACUUUAAUUUGAUGUAAUAAGAAUUUAGUUAUUGAUUUAUUUUGAUGCAAAUUAUUAACCAUCAUAUGAUUUCAGUAUUUUUAGUACAUCAGGAUUGGCUGUUCUUCAUAAAACAUGGCUACUUUAAGGAAAAAUAUAUUAAAUUUUUGUACGCGUUACCUAAAAUGCAAAUAUUUCUUCAUUUUACUGAAAAUUAUUGACCGCCAUUGGAUUUUGUACUUUUUAUAGUUUAGAAUAGUUUUUUUGUUCAUAAAUUUAAAGGAAUGUCAGAGAAAUCAUACUAAAAUUUUGUUCCCAUUGUUUAAAAUAAUCAAAAUUAUUCUUCUUUUUAUCAAAAAUGAUACUAUUUUAUUUGAAAACAGUUAUUUUUACCAUCUUGAGACAAGUCUUCUAAUCAGAAUUCAGAUAUAAUGAGAAUCAAAAUACUUAAACUUUUAUUUUUGUGGAAUAAGAAUGUAGUUAUUGAUUUAUUUUGAUGCAUAUUUUUAACUGUCAUAUGAUAUCAGUACUUUUUGUACAUAAUGAUUGGCUGUUCUUCAUAAAAUAAUCUUAGUUUAAGGAAAAAUAUAUUAAAUUUUUGUACGCAUUGCCUAAAAUGCAAAUAUUUCUUCAUUUAAUGAAAAUUAUUGACCGCCAUUGGAUUUUUGUACUUUUUAUAGUUUAGAAUAGUUUUUUUUUCAUAAAAUUGAAAGAAUGGCAGAGAAAUCAUAUUGAAAUUUUAUUCGCAUUGUUAAAAAUAACCAAAAUUAUUCUUCUUUUUAUUAAAAAUGAUACUAUUUUAUUUGAAAUCAGUUAUUUUUACCAUCUAGAGACAAGUCUUCUAAUCAGAAUUGAGAUAUAGUGAGAAUUAAAAUACUUAAACUUUUAUUUUUGUGGAAUAGGAAUUUAGUUAUUGAUUUAUUUUGAUACAAAUUAUUAACCGUCAUAUGAUUUCAGUACUUUUUGUACAUCAGGAUUGGCUGCUCUUCAUAAAAUAAUCUUAUUUUAAGGAAAAAGGUAUUAAAUUUUUGUACGCGUUGCCUAAAAUGCAAAUAUUGUUUCAUUUUACUGAAAAUUAUUGACCGCCAUUGUAUUUUUGUACUUUUUAUAGUUGAGAAUAGUUUUUUUUUUUCAUAAAAUUAAAAUAAUAUCAGAUAAAUCAUACUAAAAUUUUGUUCGCAUUGUUUAAAAUAAUCAAAAUUAUUUUUCUGUUAUCAAAAAAGAUGCGUAUUGUUAUGCGUUACUUUACGUAACAUUGGCUUAGAGGUAUAGGGGGAGGGUUGAGAUCUCACAAACAGUUUAAACCCCGCCGCAUUUUGCCGCCUGUCCCAAGUCAGGAUCCUCGGGCCUUUUUAGUCUGUAUUAUUUUAAGUUUAGUUCUUGUGUCAAUUGAAAUUAGUAUGCGUUCAUUAUCACUACUAGUAUAUCAUUUGUAGGGCCAGCGAAGGACGCCUCCGGGUGCGGAAUUUCUCGCCUACAUGUGAAGACCUGUUGUGACCCUCUGUUGUUGUUUUUUAUUUGGUCGGUUUUGUCUCUUUGACACAUUCCCCAUUUCCAUUCUCAAUUUUAUUUACAAUUUAUUUUUGAAAUAGUUAUUUUUACCAUUUAGACAAGUCUGCUAAGUUAGAAUUUCAAUUGCAAUCAGUUGUUGUAAAAUGAUUUUCAAAUGUUUUUGGUAGAAAAUGUGAAUUAUUCAAGAAUUAGAAUCUGCUGAGUUCUUUCUGUUUUAAGGAAUAUCAUUUAUGUUUACCGAACAUUUGAUUUUUGCUACUUUAUUGUUUAGGAGUAUUAUCUUUUUUAUUAAAAAAAGACUAUCAGAAAAAAUAUAAUGUAAUGUUGUUUGCAUGUUUAAAAAUUAUUUCUAUUCUUGUUAAAAAAAACCAGCAGUUAUUUUGUAAUUUGUUAGUUUUAAAAUGCUUCGAUUGUGACGAGAAUAUAGAAAGUCCGUGAUUACGAUAAGUGUUUUUUAAGAAUUUUAUAUGAUAAGGAUACAAAAGGUAUAAAUUGAAAAAAAAGACUACAUUUUCAAUAACUGAUUCUUUCAUUUGUUUUUUCGAGAAUGUUUGGAAAAUAAGGAAAUAAAAAUCGCGCAUGUAGACACCGUUUUAGAAACUCGCCGGUUUGAAAAUAUAUAACCUAAAUAAACGAAAACGACCAUUCUUUAAUGAUGAUAUUUUUAUUAGGUUUUAUUCUGCUACAUUUCUUUUCAUUUCAUUUCAUAAACUUGCUAAAUAAUUAAUAACAAAAUUAUCAUUGAACGUUCGAGUUUCAAGAGUCGCCAUUUUGAAUAGAUAGAUUAAGAUUAAAACGAAACUAAGAUUCCGUAAUUUGUAUUAGUUUAUCAUGAACGUAUUAAAGUUUCAAUCCUCAUCAAGCGUCGAUCGUACUAUCCGUCCGAUCAGUCCGAUCAGUCAAUACUUUUACUAUAAGUCUACGGAUGCUGACGUGACGUUUGACGCUAAACUUAGACUGAUCGGUGACUGAUCGAUGACCGCUGACUGAUCGCGAAAUAGUAAAACGGACUAAGGUUGCAAUACUGUAACUGAUAGCUAUAGGCAUCUCCACAGAUAAACAAACCUGUUGUGAUAAGAUUUGUACAGCCUCUGCCAUGUUUGGCAUUUCCUCAAUCUAUACUAUUAAACUGACAGUAUGAGUGUUAGUCUUGUAUGAUUUAAAAUUUUAGUUUCUUGUUAUAUUCGGAGUUUAAGUAUGACGUCAUAUCACUGCUACUAUUAUGCAUAAUUUUAGGGGGCCAGCUGAAGGACACCACGUGUGCGGAAUUCGCGUACAUUGAAAGACCCAUGGUUGCCUUCGGCUGUUGUUUGCUCUAUGGUCGGAUGGUUGUCGCUUUGACAUUCCACAUUUUCCUUCUCAAUUUUAUCAUCGUCCUACAUAUUAAACAAACCUGUUGUGAGUAAGACUUUGUACAGGCCUCUGCGUGCUUGGCUUCCUCAGAUCUACCACUAUUAACUGACAGUAUAGCAUCUCCUACAUACAGGUUUCCACAUCUACGCAGGCUGACCUUCAUGGAUUUCUGAUAUCAAGAUUGGAACACCAUGCCUCUUUACCACCCUGUAAUUAACAGAUUUAUUUUUUAUCAAUUCCUUAAUGUUAAAAAUGUUGAUUACAUUGGUUGCAAUGAAAUACUGUGAUUCACAGAACUUAGAACUUAAAUAUAAACUGUAAUUACACAUGUGAAAAUAAAUUGGAUAGUUUCACAUGUGAAAACAAUCCGAUUAUUUCACAUGAAAAUAAAUUUGAUAAGUUUCAUCUAAUUUCAUGCUAUUAUAUUACAUUGGUGAUGUCAAGACAUUGUAGAAUGAUGAUGCAUUCAAAACAAAAUGUGAAUAUAGCAGAAAAAGAUAUAGUUUUGUAAUUUACUUAUUGAGCCAUUUAAAAAGCCAACUGUCAAUGUAAUAAGGAGAACAACUUGUCAAAUAACUAAUGAUGUAUAAAAUUAUUCAACUUGACAGAGAACACUGACAAAUUUAAUCAGCUGCUAACAGCUCACUUGUCAGUUUACGUGUUGUUUAGGCACUCAUUGAUAUUUUCUAUAUUGAUUUCCUUAGAUAGAGUAUAUUCCAUAAGUCUUUUUGCAAAAGUGAGACGAUGUGUGUCAUGUAUACGUGUGAAUUGAUCAUACACCACAAAAAUCCUCAUUAGUAUCAGAAAUGAACUGUAGUAUACCAGUAUAGAAAAUGGAAAAUCAUUAUUACAAAAACAUUGCAAUGUAUUAUUUUCCAAAAUAUUUACUUACAGUUAUGACAACCUAUCCAUUCACGCACCUUUCGUAUAAGGACCUUCCUCACAUCUCCCAAACAUGCUGUUUUCUUAACCGAUUUAAAGUCCUCAAAAUUAAAACAAUGUUGAAAUUUUAUAGAGACAAUGAAUUCAUUAAAUGUAUGUGGAGAUUUAUUCAUACCGGUAUGAUAAUUCACUGAUUCUUAUGUGAAAGGUUUGACAAACAUUGUUAAGAGUUCCCCAAAACACAGGUUUAUCUUCAUAAAUAUUGAUAAAAACUUUACAUGGCCGGCUGGAACAGGAAUUUUUCUUCCGAGUUAUUCCGUCCACGACAUGCUCGUAUUACUGUUUGUGUCUGUGUAAAUGGAUUCUGCUUCUAACUGGUUCCAAAGCUUGUCAUGCUCUGCUCCUCUCAUGUUUCGACCUAACAACUGGAUCUCGAAUUCUACAAAACAUAAGAGACAUCAUAAAAAUUGUUUGGUGUUUAUUUAACAUAUAAUGCAAAUAUUUCAAUUAUAGUCACUGUACAGCCUAUCAAAGUACAAAAAAAAAUUAUCAAUAUAUAUUUUUAGAAGCCUCGGCAGAAGUGGGUCACCAGCAAUAAGUAAAAAAACUUUCAUUGCUCUGAAGGCCACAGUGGCAAAUGGUUAAGUAAGUUCAUCUACAGAAAUCAGCUAGGCAAUGUAGCAUGGUAUAUACUGAGCUUGUGACACUUAACUUAAUACCUGGAUUGCUAGUUAUCUGGCAGAGGUUAGACUCUAUCCAAGGUUAUCAGUUUCCUCCAUCAAUAUAACUGGGCACAUUGAAAGCGCACUGACAAUCCCCUGAAAGCUUCUUUCUUGUAUAGGUGCUGAAAACUCAUCUUAAAACUUAUACUUCUGUUUCAAUGUGUAUUACCUUCCAAAAAGCUAAUUCUUUGUCUAAAUACUUAGCGCAAGUCUUUGCACAUAAACUUCUCCCUGCAGAGCUAAAACAUAUUGACGUAGUUCAGUAUUUUUCUUUCCUUAAUUCUUUUACUCUGCCUCUAAUUUUGCCAUGUUUAAAAAUUAAUGCUUUUGUGCCUGUAAUUCAUCUUUCCUAAAAUUAUGAAAACAUUGAAAACUUUUAAUUCAGAAUGAUUUGGCCAAAUGUUUUUAUUAUUGCUAAAUUGAAACAGAGUAAUUUUUGCCAAAUAAAAAACUGGUAUUUCAUUUUGAUAUCAUUAUUAGGCUCAUUCUCUCUUUCAGUUUAAAGAAAACAUGAAGAUAUAUUAAAAACAUUGCACAUGUUGCAUUCCUUCCAUAUAUAGGUCACAACUAACCUAUUAUUUACAAAUUGUAUGGUCACAACUUCAUACAGGCCACAUAAACACCUUAAGCAAAACAAAUAUUUACGGUUUUGAUAUCUUACAUUAUUUCAACUAGUUACAAGAUUAUAGAAAAAUAGGAUAAAUUGAAUAUCCUUUUAGGACACAAAAUCCAGUAAAUUGCACAGCAAAAAACAGAAAAAGCCAAAGGAACAUCAUACAUGUUCUCCAAAAAGGGUUUUCUCACCAUUUUUUUCAUUAUACUUGUAGAAUCGUCUCUAUGCUUUAUCAGCCGUUUCUGUAACUGUAGUGAAUGGAGUGUAAUAAGACAGAUGGAGUUCUUUGUCAACCAGAAGCUUUAGAGGAUUUCAUUUCUAUCAAAAAUGUCUGAUCUCAUAUUCAUACUAGUGCCUGCCUGGAAAUUUAAAAUAAAAUUAAUCUUAGUCAUGUCAAAUUAAGUCAUGAUUCAAGCCUGGAAGAAAUCUGAAAAUUUUGAUUGUAUGCAAUUGUUACUUCUAAAAUAGAAUAGCACCGCAAUUAUACCAUGUAUACCUGAAGAAGAUGAGUAAUUAAUUCUUGUACAUUUAAAAAAUACUUUAUGUAUUGCGAUCCAGAUUAGGCCCUCCUUGUUUUAAUUACAUGUAAAAUGUACAAAGAGUUACACCUUCCCUAAACGAAAACUGGUUCUUAUAAAGACAUCUAUAAAGAAGUGAUGAGGCAUCUGCGCAAUGCUUGGCAAUUUUACUUUGAGGGUCCAUUUUCAUUCGCUUCAACAUUUUGAUUCAGAUAUUUUGUUCGUAGUUCAGUAUUGAAAGUUAAACAAAAAUAUUUGGAUAUACAAGAACAUGAAGAAUGUGUCCAUGACACGGAUACCCCACUGCACUAUCAUUUUCUGUUUCAGUGGACAUUGACAUUGAAUCAAAACUCAUUGGCAUUCAAAUUAGAAGAAUCAUAUCCGAUAUGUGAUGACAAGUGUACCUAAGUUUCAAAGUUGAUUGCCUUUAACUUGUUAACGCAUCAAAAACAACCUUGACCAAAAACGUUAACCUGAAGGGGACACACAGAUAAAGGACGAAUGACCCAUUUCCAGAAAACAUAACUUACAAGUGAGAAAAAUCAAUAAUAUUUAUACAUGAGCUAUUUUAACUGUUUAAACUCGCAACGAUCCUGAAAUUUUCAUUGCUGUACAAAGACUAAUGAACUCAAAAUGUUAACUUUUUUUGAUGCUUUUUUUCAUUCCCGCAUUUGGGCAGAACACAGAAAUCUACUUCCUUCUUCCGGUCUCUGUCGUGAGGACUGGAGUAGUCUAGUAAAAUAUAGGAACUCAAGGAACACAAUACCAAUAUUUCAUUUUAAAUAAUUUUUUGUCUUUGAUAAUAAUUAAGUGACCUGAUGCAUUGCUUUGUGAUUCCUUUGCUUACAUUGAACAUGACCCAUAACUUAAAUAAUGUCACAAGUAAAAUCCCUAACAACAAAACCAAAUCAAAAACGUUACGGUAUUUCCAUUCUUUUUUUAACAAAAUAUUUAAGUUACAAAAAAAAAAUAAUUCAUACAGACUUCGUCCCAUUCACAGGUAAUGCCUGCCUCAUAUUACAGGACUAUAAUACGUUAUCUUCAUUCAAAAGAUCAUCAAAUUAUGUAACUUUAGUGGCGUAAUUUUUUAUGAGUCUUUUGAAGAGAAAAAGCACUUCGGAUGAAACUAUUGAAGCGAAAAAGCAGUGCGGCUCAAAUACAAAAUUCAAAUCCUGGUAACUGCUGAUGAGUUUAUUUACCAGACGCUCUGAACCCCUGCACUAUCACAGUUUCAACAAUUGUCUUGAUCGUCCAAUCUGCAGGGUAGUUUAGGAAUAUUUAUGUUCAGCAAGAAUUGUAAUCCCAACCCCCAUACAACUGUAGUUUGUUUAGGUUAAUUUCCAAAAAUUUUGAAGUAAGCAUCACUUUAUCGACCUGUUUCCUCAAUAUGAGUUGGAAGUGACGAUGCAUCAGAUUUGGUCAUAAGGCAACUAUAUGACAUGAAAGAUUCCAACUACAUGUUUGUAUUUGGAACUGGCUUAUGAACCCUACAUGUGUUUAAACAUAAAUGCAAAUUAUUGUCGAUUAGAGAAAUAAAAUGAAGUUAUUUUUAAUUUACAAAAUUAUGACAACUCUUGGUUUCAAAGUUUUCAAACAUGUGAUGGAAAAUGGUUUCUAUAGAAAGUCUUACUCAAGUUUGCAUUUGAUUGGAAACACAGUAUUGAGCUUUGUGACAGAGCUGGGCAAUGCAGCACUGAGAGCUGUCAUCUUUUGCCGGCCCUCAAAGUUAAUCUCACAUGUCAGUCGAAUAUCUACCAAGCAAUAAGAUUUCAGAGAUCCUACAAACGCUUGUCAAAUUCCUUUUCUAAAAGUUCUAACCACCGAAACGAUAAAGUAGCUGUCAUUUUUGGUUAGCGACAAAACAUUAAUUUUUUCCUUCAAGGUCUAAUUAUAUUCAUGAUAGAGAGGACGAAAUUUAUUUAAAUUACAAACGCUCAAAAUAAUCAAAUGAAUAAAAACAAAAUGUCACACGCAUCUAACGGGAAAAUAUUCCGGAAAAAUAAGUUUUUUAGCGGCAAAUUCAAAAAGAUAAAAUUAACUUGUAGAUUUCUUAAGUUAGUUUUACUUUAUUGUAUUCAUAUUUGAAAUAUUCUAUUAAUUGUUUUCUUAUUUUAAUAAUUGAGUUUUCGGCAUUUUAUUUUAUAUUUGCCAAAGUUCUUGUAUUAUAUAUGUCUUAGACGGUUCGCCUGUCUAGCAUAAAUGUGCAUAUUAUCAUAUUUCAUAUCUCUCUCUGCUUUUGUUACAGAAAACCAUCAACGUACUGAGUGUUUACUUUCCGGCGCAUGCCUGGUAAAUGUUUUUUAAUACAAUUUAUGUGAUAUAUUUUGUCAUAAAAUAUAAAUUAACAAAAUAUUUCUUAUUCAAAGUUGUUUUUUGUCAUAUAAAUUUUUACAAGUUCUUAUGUUUUGAUUUAUCAAUUUUUUAUUAGUUUUUAAAUAUUACUUUUUUUAUUUUUUAUUUUUUGGUAUAAGAUAAAAACAAGAGUAUCUGUUUAUUCAGAGUAGAGUAGAUAUCAAGGAGCACGUCGGUUUGUGAGUGCAUGUCCUUUGAAAGGUUUACUGUAUUACUGUUUUUGCAUACUUUUCAGGAUAGUUUGUUCCAGUCGGUGAUGGUUUGACAGAAAAAAGAAAAUUUAUAGCUGUCUUAUUGCAAUGAAUUUGUCAUGUAGGAUUAUAACAAAGUGAUUUAAUAAUAGGCGGAUCCCAGUCUAAAUUUGUCUCUUAUACAGCAAUGACAAUAGAAUUCACAAUAUAAAUCAUUGAAUACAUUCAUGGCACAUAUUCACACGUACAUGUGCACUAAAGCAAACAAACAUAAGAACACGUAUACAUGAAAACAAACUAUACUAAAAUGUUGCAUAUUGCUCAGUGCCGACAUUUGUUGUCGUUCUGUCCACAGGCAGCACUUGCACUUUGUGAUAUGAGAAGCCUCCUAUUUAUUAUUUAUAUUUUUAUUUCUCUGGUUAAAUUUUUUUAAAACACUUAUUUAUUUCAAACAUAAUACUAUUUUUAGGAUAAAAGAUACCUCACUAUGAGAACCCCGAAGUAGAUUUUCGUGCAAGUCAGUACAUAUUACUUUAUUUUCACUUAUUGAUACGUCUUCCCUUAUCCAUACACAAAGCUUAUAAGUUCAUUAAAUCAUUUCUAAACAAUUUGCUUUUCUCCGAUGUAAUUAUUCAUACUGUAAAACAAAGUAAUUGUUAUUUUUUGAUAGCAGUCCGAUAUAUUGUUUAGAUGGCAUAUGAUCAAUUAGGAUCUAUUUGUUUUAAGGGAGUUCAAUAAUGGGCACCUAACGGAGUAAACUGCUAAUACAUGUUUAUGUUGUUAGAAUAAUUAAGUUUUGAUGUAGGUCCAUAUGUGCCAGUCCAACCGCAGAACAUAUUAAAUACUACUGAACAACUCCGGCACAAGCCGACCAUGCGAAGGGCUAAAAAGCCAGCCAAGGUCGUCAAUUCUUCCAGUAGUAAAAUGAUUUAAAAUGAUUAUUGAACGAUUAAAUGAUAUACCGUGAAAACUAUAUAUUUUUUCAAUCAAUGGGAGAUGUACACCUUAUUUGCCCUCACUACUUUGAAACCGUGUAUCUAGAUAUAUAUACUACUAUACUAAAAGAUAUCUGUUUUAUCAUCGAUACUUGAUGUUGUAUCUAACAUCUAAGAAGCCAUUACCCAUCACCCUUUUCCCACAAAAAAUAACGUCAACAAACUGCUCGAUAAUUAACAGUUCCGAACGUAAAUUGUCCAAUUAAGUUUACACCCAAACCAUUUGGUGUUGUUUUUGCGCAAGUUGGUUAAUAUACUAUUGAUAUUGACUUAAUCUAGAAAAAAAAAUAAUUAGUACAUUUAAUGACCUUUUUAUGUGUUUAAUUAUUCCGUGUUUACUUUGAUUAACUAUGAUCACAGAGUCACGUAGUCGCCAUUUCUAUAAGUCUAUUCGUGUGCUUAAAUUAGUCUUUAGUUUUUUGUGUUGUGUCAUUGUGUGUACUAUAUAUUUGUCUGAUUAGAUUUUAUUUUUAGUCAUGCGUGUCAGUUUAUUUUCAACUUAUGAAUUUGACUGUCACUCUGAUUAUCUUUCGCCCAUCUAUUUUCAAAAGCAUUUGCCAAUCUGUAUUCUUCUUAGCUUCAUAUUUGUAAUCAUAUUAUACUGAAGUGUUUAUCUCUAAUUUGUCUGUGGUUUCCUGAAGUUGAAACAUGAUAUUAUGUCGUUAUUAUUAUUACUGUCAUUCCCAAACGGAAAACCACAGAAACAAAAUUGAUUUUAUAUAGACACGAAUAUUCAUGACUCAUGUUGAAUACAAAAGUGCAGCGUGUCUUAGAAAAUGUUUCCUCUGAUCAACUAAUCCAUGCAUAGUAAAAGUGGUACUCCUUAGACUCCCAAACCCCCCCCCCCCCACCCCCGAGGUAUUUUGUUUUAAAAAAUUACCUUUCAACCCCAAUGUUUGCAUUCUUUUCAUUUUAAUUAUCCCUAAUUUCUAUUUGAAAAGAUUAGAUUAAUGUAAAGUUAGUAAACACAUGUUCUUAAUAAGGUUACUCGUAACACUCAUUUUAUUCAUUCAAAAUUAAAUACAUUUCUAUACAUAAGAAAAUGCCUGUACCAAAUAAAGACACCAGUAGCAUACCGUGUUUAAAGUCAUAAAUCGAUUGAAGAAAACAAAUGUUGGUUGCAACAUAAUAACCGAGGAAAACACAUCAUCAUAAUAAGAGGAAAACAAAUGGAACAACAGGGAACAACAGGGACGCUGAAGUGCCAACAAAAAACAACGCCACUUUACUAAAUAAUAAAGUUUUGUUUGCCUUUCAACUGUCUUGAUUCAAGCGCUUUUGUGAGUCUUCUAUGGUAUCAUCCAGCCCAGUAGUCAUCGUGGACUUCGGUGUUUGACAAUGAAUACCAAUUAUAUGGUCAUUUUAUAAGUGUUCGGUUUAUAAAAACUUUGAAUUUUCCGUUGAAGAUGCUGAGUAUAUCCAGGGAGAAUAAUUUAUAAUAAAAGAAUGAUGACACGUUAUAGAAAUUAACAGUUGAGACAGAACAUAAUAAAUGACUGUUUAUAUUAUAAUAUAUAUAUGUAUAAAAAAAGCCAGUGUCGAAAUUUUAGUGAGGCAAUUACUGGUGACCUCAACAUUGUCAUUUAAACUUCUGAGUGGAAUGUCUUAUAUAAAGGCUAAAAAAUCUUCUAAAUUUCAGUCGAUGAUUAUGCCAGGAAAUUGGCUAAAGGCAAACAAGAGAUCGUAUACUUUUCUAAUCGGGUUAAAGAAAAGGCAACAGUAAUAUACCGCUGUUUGAAAUCAUAAAAAUCGUAGAAAAAAACCAAAUCCGAGUUACAUGCCAAAUCUCCCGAUAUAAAUUGGAAUUUGAAUACUAAAUGGACAUAUGAAUACUAACUACACAAGGUACAUUGAACUUGAAAGACUUAAAUGUUGCUAAUAACCUGUCAUACUGCCAUGACAAAUAUUGUGUUGUCCCGCUAGGUAUUAACAACAUCGUGUUUCUUGUGAAGUCACAUUACAAGGGACAUAAAUGCUAAAUUGAUAAAUAAAUUGAUAUUUAUAAUUCAACCGGCAACUCAAAAGAAUGGAGGACAGAAAGUCACGGGACAAAAAGUCACAGACAAAAAGUCACGGACNNNNNNNNNNNNNNNNNNNNNNNNNUAAUAAAUCAAGACGACGACCAAGAUGACUGAUAGAAACUUCAAUUAUAGUGGGAUAUAUAAAACAAUGUUUAGACACACAUUUUUAUUUUUGAUGUGUAGCUUUUAUUUAUCGAUAAAUUAUAUAAAUGUACUAUAUGACCGCUAAUAGGAUUUGAAAACUGCAUUUGCCAGUGGAUUACGGAAUGAUUUGGAAGCAUUGUCCAGGUUAACUGAUUUGCCAACAGAUUGGAUGGAAAAGGGUGAAUAUAUCAUAUUGAAGAUAAUUGUAAACAUUAAUUGAAAUUUUCAGUAACAAUAUAAAAAAUUAUGAGUACCAGACACAAGUUAUUGAAAUGUGUACAUUAAUGAUAAAUAAAUAACCGAACAUAAAAAAAUGGUGAUUGACACUACCUUCAAAUUUAUUUUUUUUAGCUAGGUAAUCCAUGUUCCUUGUUUGUUUCAUAAAUUUAUAUGACAGGUAUUUAACAUGCUUGUUUGGCGCUCGAGAGAAGGCAUACUGAAGCUGAUGGUCAUAUAUGUGUUAUCGCUAAUUUAUCCAACCAUGUUUUCAAAAAGUAUGUCAUGUGUAUAUAGUCUACAUGUUCUUUUCACUUUUUUCAAGAAGACAUACUCUUUUAAUGCUCUAAUAUCUGCAAUAUUAUUCUAUAUAACUAUUUGUUAAAACUUUUUUUUAACAUAUUAACCGUUGUAUUCUUUUCCAGUAAACAUAGGUGAAUGAUGACCUAUAUUGAUAUAUGAUCAUACAACAUGUACAAUGUGUAUACUUAGAAAAAGUUACCAUAUUAUUAUUUUUUCUAUAACUUGUGUGUUUUAAUUUAUACUAUUGUCAUAACAAAAGAGAUUUCAUUUUACUAUAAUAUUGUAUAAAAGACUGAUGAAUUUUAAUAGAUAUCAAGCGGGCAGUCUCGAAUUCUGAUGUCAUUGGACUCAUAUAUUUAGCAUUACUGCGGAAACAGUUUUAUUCUGGGGCGACUCAGCUUAUAGAUACGGGAUUUGUAAGUCAGUUUUUAAAUUAAGCGAAC
rnacentral:lncRNA from 1 species